UACGUAGGGGGCGAGCGUUGUCCGGAUAUCGGUGGCGUAAAGCGCACGCAGGCGGUCUGCUAAGUUUGGAGUGACAGUUGGUGGCUUAACUGCCAAAGUGCUUCGAAAACUGACAGACUUGAGGGCUUCAGAGGGACACGGAAUUCCGGGUGGAGUGGUGAAAUGCGUAGAGAUCCGGAGGAACACCAAAGGCGAAGGCAGUGUCCUGGGGAGUACCUGACGCUCAGGUGCGAAAGCCAGGGGAGCGAACGGG
rnacentral:rRNA from 1 species